AUCCUGGCUCAGGAUGAACGCUAGCUACAGGCUUAAACACAUGCAAGUCGGAGGGGAAACGACAUCGAAAGUCUUGUCUUUUGAUGGGCGUCGACCGGCGCGACGGGUGAGUAACGCGUAUCCAACCUGCCCACCACUUGGGGAUAACCUUGCGAAAGUAAGACUAAUACCCGAUGAUAUCUCUAGACGACAUCUGAAAGGGGAUUAAAGAUUUAUCGGUGAUGGAUGGGGAUGCGUCUGAUUAGUUAGUCGGCGGGGUAACGGCCCACCGAGACGACGAUCAGUAGGGGUUCUGAGAGGAAAGUCCCCCACAUUGGAACUGAGACACGGUCCAAACUCCUACGGGAGGCAGCAGUGAGGAAUAUUGGUCAAUGGGCGAGAGCCUGAACCAGCCAAGUAGCGUGCAGGACGACGGCCCUAUGGGUUGUAAACUGCUUUUAUAAGGGAAUAAAGUGAGUCUCGUGAGACUUUUUGCAUGUACCUUAUGAAUAAGGACCGGCUAAUUCCGUG
rnacentral:rRNA from 1 species